CCAAAGCUUGGUUCUAACCCUAAUCACCAACAGUCAAGAAACAUUUCCCCUUCUCCUCCCUUUCCUCUUCACUCAUGCUUUCCUCCUUAUCACUCUCUCAACUAGUUCCUCAUUUUAAUUAAAGAAAAAAACUUCUCUAACUUUUGGAUCUUACUAUCCCCCCCCCCUUAACUAAUUAUUUACUUGAUUGCAUUCUUUCAAUCGUGCAGUUUAUUUCCUCUCACUUUCCUUGUAUAAGUAAGUGUGCUAGGAGCGACUCCUCUGAGCAUACAACUCCAGCUAUACAAUGAACAGCACUAUAGCAGAAAAAGAAAGCCCACAGGAUGACAUCAGCCUACCAGAAGAGGAGGUGAGGACGCUUUUUGUCAGCGGAUUGCCUUUAGAUAUCAAACCUCGGGAACUCUAUUUAUUAUUCAGGCCAUUUAAGGGCUAUGAGGGUUCUCUAAUAAAACUCACAUCAAAGCAGCCUGUGGGUUUUGUCAGUUUUGACAGCCGAUCAGAAGCAGAAGCGGCCAAGAACGCAUUAAACGGAAUCCGUUUUGAUCCAGAAAUUCCUCAAACGUUACGGUUGGAGUUUGCAAAAGCGAACACAAAGAUGGCCAAGAGCAAGCUUGUGGGCACCCCAAAUCCAAGCACACCUCAGCUGAACAGCAUACCUCAGUUUAUCUCCAGAGAGCAAUAUGAACUCACAGUCCCUGCACUUUACCCAGGUAGCCCUGAAGUGUGGGCACCAUACCCCCUCUACCCAGCGGAAUUAGCACCUGCUCUACCUCCUCCUGCUUUCACCUAUCCCGCUUCACUGCAUGCCCAGGUCCGCUGGCUCCCACCCUCAGAUGCUACUUCUCAGGGCUGGAAGUCCCGACAGUUCUGCUGAGUAACAUGUACCAGGUGUGUGAUGAUGGCUACAGUCUGUCUUGUGGGUAUUGAUGUAGUCUUUCUUGUUGGCCACUGGAGUCUCAGGCUAUUCAUCACAACAACAGUGCGCUGGCUUGCAAGCCAUCAUUAAGAUCCGUUCAAGACGUUGACCCAGCCUCUAUCACACAUCUGACCUUCUAAACCUUAGCCAAAAAUACGUGAACAUAUUCUACUUCUGUUCUACACUGUAAAGAACUACAGAGUGCCUUAUGUGAAUUCUUAGGAUGAUUGUGCAUUGCUCUCUAGGUUAUCCUUUCAGUGCUAAAGCAAUGUACCGAAGGCAUAAUCAUGAAUAGAAAGCAAUGUAUGCCCAAAGCAACCUUACACUGUGUUCACAUAUUAGUUUAUUAAUUGUUAACUCUUGUAAUGAAAGAAUAAUCUAUUUUUGUUUGGAUUUUAAGCUGCAUGUUUUGUUUUGAGCAAGUAUUGAGAUAUUCUUUAAGGCAAACAAAAAAAAUCUAAAAUAAUUGUAUUAUAAGAUAAAGAUUUUGUGACCGUCCUAUUUGUGUCAAAACAAGCUGUAAAUAUUGAAUACACUUUUGUUGGCUUUUCCAGUAUUACCUAACUUGCUUCCAAUAUAUAUAAAGUGUGAUCAGGGUAAAUCAGUUUAGGAAGACCGUUCAUAAAAAUGUAAAUUUAGUGUUAAGGAGGUCUAUAUUGUGUAUUAUUUAGCCUGUAGAAGGUUUUUUUUUUCUAUAUGAUUCAUAUUUUCAGCUUGUGUGCUAAUUUUCUUUCUUUUGUAUCAUUCUCCUCAUCCCGACAGUUCUCCUAUGCAUCGUACAGCAUUCAUAGCGUGGUAUUUUGUGCAAUGUAGUUUUGCGUUACUAUUUUACAUCAUGAAAAAAUAGCACCCACAAAGUAAUUGUAACUUGGUGGUUAAAAACAAAUUAAUAAGCUAAAAUGUUGUCAAAAGUACAUGUGUGUGUGUAUGUGGUAAGCGUGUUAACAUAUAGCAAUUGCAGGACUCAAUGUUACAUUGUGUAAUGAGAUUUAGGCAGCAAACCUCCUGCAAUAAAUCAUA